rnacentral:misc_RNA from 1 species
UUAAGCAGAUGUGGUGAUUCAGGC